AUUUGGAAAGAGAGGAGAUCUCCUAGUGAUUUUCUUUCCUCUGAAAGUUUUCCUGAUUCAAUCUUCCCUCGGCACACGCUUUUAGGGAAGCUGGAUGCUCUGGUUAAGAAGAGAGACCCAGUUAUGGACCCAGCCUACCAAGGACCUCCAGAGAGAAACCUAAAGAAGCAAGGGUACAUAAAAGCAUAUGCCUCAGUACUUAAGGGGAAAAAGUCUGAGUUAG